GCGCGAGGCGGACCCCGCUGGCGUGGGGCGGGGCCAGAAGAGCGGGCUAAGUGGCCGGAGGAGGUGGCGGCGUCUGGGAGAGGCGAGAGAUCUGGCCGAUUUUAGCGUCGAAACUGGGAGAAAUAGGAAUGGCUGUAGAGGAACUUCAGUCUAUAAUAAAGAGAUGUCAAAUCCUAGAAGAGCAAGACUUUAAAGAAGAGGAUUUUGGCCUAUUUCAGUUAGCUGGGCAAAGAUGCAUAGAAGAAGGGCACAUAGACCAGCUAUUAGAAAUUAUUCAAAAUGAAAAGAAUAAGGUCAUCAUCAAGAAUAUGGGCUGGAAUCUCAUUGGUCCUGUUGUUCGAUGCCUUUUGUGUAAAGAUAAAGAGGAUGCUAAAAGAAAAGUUUGCUUUUUGAUCUUUGAUUUAUUAGUAAAGUUAUGCAAUCCAAAGGAAUUAUUGUUGGGUUUGCUUGAACUGAUUGAAGAGCCCUCUGGAAAACAGAUAUCCCAAAGUAUUCUUCUUUUGCUUCAGCCAUUACAAACAGUGAUUCAGAAACUUCAUAACAAGGCAUAUUCAAUUGGAUUAGCAUUGUCUACCCUUUGGAAUCAGCUAUCUCUUCUUCCUGUUCCAUACUCAAAAGAACAAAUACAAAUGGAUGACUAUGGCCUUUGUCAGUGUUGCAAGGCCUUAAUAGAGUUCACUAAGCCUUUUGUGGAAGAAGUCAUUGAUAACAAAGAAAACUCACUGGAAAAUGAAAAGUUGAAGGAUGAAUUACUGAAAUUUUGUUUCAAAAGCUUGAAAUGCCCUUUGCUGACAGCACAAUUCCUUGAACAGUCUGAAGAAGGUGGAAAUGAUCCUUUCAGGUAUUUUGCAUCAGAAAUAAUAGGUUUUUUAUCAGCAAUUGGACACCCUUUCCCCAAAAUGAUUUUUAAUCAUGGAAGGAAAAAGAGAACUUGGAAUUACCUUGAAUUUGAAGAAGAAGAAGAUAAACAGUUAGCAGACUCAAUGGCUUCUCUGGCAUAUCUAGUAUUUGUACAGGGCAUCCGUAUUGAUCAGCUUCCAAUGGUCUUAAGCCCAUUGUACCUUUUGCAGUUUAAUAUGGGGCAUAUUGAAGUCUUUUUGCAAAGAACAGAAGAGUCUGUUAUCUCCAAAGGAUUGGAGCUGCUGGAGAAUAGUUUAUUGAGAAUAGAAGACAGUAGUCUACUUUACCAGUACUUAGAAAUCAAGAGUUUUCUUACAGUACCUCAGGGCUUAGUGAAAGUAAUGACACUUUGCCCCAUUGAGACACUGAGGAAAAAGAGUUUAGCUAUGCUUCAGCUGUAUAUUAACAAGUUGGAUUCACAAGGCAAAUAUACAUUAUUUAGGUGCUUAUUGAAUACAAGUAAUCACUCUGGUGUGGAGGCUUUUAUUAUUCAAAAUAUCAAAAAUCAAAUUGACAUGUCAUUAAAGAGAACACAUAACAACAAAUGGUUUACAGGACCACAGUUGGUUUCCCUUCUUGAUUUGGUACUUUUUCUUCCAGAGGGUGCGGAAACAGAUUUACUGCAAAACUCAGAUAGGAUUAUGGCUUCAUUAAAUUUAUUGAGGUAUUUGGUUAUCAAAGAUAAUGAAAAUGACAAUCAAGUAAGUGGAGUAUUUGAAAAGAAACUAAUGAAAGCUGGGACAAGAGAAACAAUGAGAUGGCAAAGUCCACAGGAAGAAAUUAUUCUGUUUUAUUCCUUUUUAGGAAGUCUUAAACUCAAGUAAUGUGAGUCUGCCAACUUUGUUCUUCUUUUUCAAAAUUGUAUUGGCUAUUUUUAAAUCCUUUACCUUUUCUGUAUAAAUUUUAGAAUUUUGUCAAUUUCUGCCACGAAGGGUUUUAAUUCCACUUAUGGCAUUCUGGAAAAGGCAAAAAUUACAUUAACAAAAAUCAGAUUGCUGGUUGCUGGAGGUGGGAGGAAACUGACUACAAAGGGGCACAAAAAUUUCUGGGUCAUGGGAAUGUCUUUACAGCAGCAGUGGUUACUUGACUUUAUAUCACUAUAUAUCUUUGUCAAAGCUCAGAACUGUAUAGCUAGAAGGUUAUAUUUUACUGUAUAUAAUCAAUACCACAACAGACCUGACUUUGAAAAAUAAAAAGAACCAGGCUCAAUAGUGAAUUAGACUGAAAUUACAUCAUGAGCAGUCAGGCACACUCAUUUAUUAUGUAAAAAUCUUUCUGAUGUUUAUUUUUGAAUCGCUUAUUCUCCAUUUUUCUACAUUAAAGUAUUAAGAUUAAAUGUGUUAUGUGGAAAGGAUUUGAGGGAAAACUUUUAUUUCAGCUAUAGAAAUAAAUGUGUGUUGAGUUGUGAUGUAAAACCUAUUUUUUACUGAGAGUCAUGGCAAAAAUAAUUUGAAAAACAGUAUCCUAGAAACACUUUUACCCUGUGUGAAUAGGAAAACAUACAGCAAUGUAAAUGCUGCAUUAUUUUGAAAUACUAAAAACUUAGUAACCGGAUAAAUUCCAUAUAAUGGAAUGUGUAUGCGGCAAUUAAAAUGAAAUUAGAGCUACAACAUAAAUAACUCUCAAAUUUAAGAUUGACAAAAAGGAAGCUGAAGCAUGUUAUAUACAGUAUGAUAUCAUUUAUAUGCUUUUAAACAUGAAAAAUUAAGUGAUACAUUAGGAAUGCAAAACAUUCAAGUUUUAGCUAAUGGCUGCCUCUUGAAUAAAGGGGAUUCCAGCCAUAUCUAGUAUUUUAUUUUUUAAAAGUAAAUAUAAUAAAAUGUUUCCUUUUGUCAAAGCUAGGUGUUUUCUCCAUACUCUUUUAUGUUCAAAUGUGCUUUAGUGGGUAAGAGAGUCAUCAGUAACCUAGUCUUGAAAGCCAUUCGUUGCAGUGAGUUCUGCCUAUAAACCCAGAGGUGAAUGCAAAGUAAAAAGUAAAAAAAAAGUUGGGGUGCAGGGAAUGCAAAAUGGUGAAGAAAAGGCUGGACGUAAAAAGGAAUAAAAGCUUAUUUGCAGCAAUGUGGAUGGACCUACUUGUCAUUAUGUUGAAAUAUGCCAGGCCCAGAAAGACAGUAUCACAUAUUCUCACAUGUGUGAGCUGACAAACUUGAUGUCGUGGAUACAGAAUAUAGAAUGAUACCAGCGUUGUGAGCAUGGGAGGGGAAAAUGUAGAGAAGCUGGUGAAUGGGCACAAACAGAGUUAGAUAAAAGACAAGCUGUAUUGCUUGAUAGCACAUUAGAGUGACUAUAAUUAGCAACAAUAUAUUGUAUAUUUCAGUGUAGCUAGAAGAGAGGACAUGAAAUGUAUAGAAAUGAUGAAUACUCAAGAGGAUGGAUACCCCAAAUACUGACUUUAUUACUAUAUAUAUUAUGCAUGUAACAAAUACAUGUACCCAUAAAUAUGUAAAAUAUCAUGUAUCAGUAAAAGAAAAAGGAUAGAGGUAAAAAUAGGAGAAAUGAGAGCAGUCGGUGCACGUAAGAGUAAUAUGCUUGUUAUACUGUGUGACUACACUGGUUAAGGAAAUUCCUGCUGCAUAUAACCCAAAUUUGCCAUGAGAGGUUAAGAAAACUUUCCACUUAACAAUUUAAAAAAUAUACAACUAAAACAUCCAUUAUUUAAAAAUCAAGAUAAAAAAAGAAUAGUAAUCAAAAUUACACCAUUGUUGAUAUACUGUAUUCCCUUCUAGGUUUUGUGUUAAUACAUCUGUACAUUUUUUCUUUUUUAAAAAGAAAAUGAGAUCAUACUAAAAGAAUCACACUGUUUUAUAACCUUUUUUCCCAUUCACCAAUAUGUACUGAAAAACAAUAUUUUAAUGGCUGUAUAGUUUUUCCAUUAUGUUAAUGUGUCAAUUUACUAUGAAUCUCCUGUCGUGAGUUAUUUUAAUUCUAAUGUUUCACUAAACAUUUUUUAAAACAUCUGCAGUAGAAUGAUAACAUCCAUCUUUAUUUCCCCAAGAUAAGUUUGUAGAUGCUGAGUGAAAAGGUAUGCAUAUUUUUGAGGGUUUUAGAUCCUCUCUAGAAUUCUACUUUUCCUGUUAGUAUAGGAGAAAUAAGAUCACUGAAAUGAAAAGUAUAUAUGUGAGACAUUAUCAGUUAUUCAUAGACAUGUGUAGAUUUUAUUUGGAAUGCUACAAGUAACAUGUUAUAUACUACUUGGGUCAAAAUAAGCUCAUUACAAAAUAGGUUCUCAAGUAGUUCAUUAUUCUAGUUAAGGAUAAAUUGGGUCCUUAAGUUUCCCUUUUUUAUCUAAGACAUUUUCCUUUGUAAAGAGUACCUGGACACUCAGAAGUACCAAUGGAUUUUCUUUUCUCUAUUUUUUAAAAUAAAAUUAAGACUUCAUGACUCCUCUCCUUUAAGUACUGUAAGAGAAAAUGCUCUUGGAAUAAAAACCUCUAAGAUACAUGACAAAAUAAGCUGUCCUCAACAGAUAAAAUCUUCACCUACUUUGGUCACCAAGGAGGUUCAAAUUAGCUGGGUAUUAGAAAAGUUUCCAUCAGUAGGAAAGGGAAAGCAUCCUCUAGAACUAGAUCCGUGGUGAGGAUAUCAAUUGAAAGGACAUACAUGGGAUGAAGGCAUAAAUAAGGUAGAGUCAUUGUGGGGAUGGCUCAUAGAGGAAGAGAUGUCUGUGAAUUUAUCUUCAAAUAAUUUUCUCAUAAAUCUUAACAAGUUAACAGAUCUCAAACCCAGGAGCUAUCCAAGUGGUGCAGUGAUAAGCGUAGUGCCCCAAGUACAUUUUUCUUUUCAUUGGUAUUCACAUAACUAGAUACAGUAAUAAAUGUAAUUAGUAAAUAGUGAAGUCCAUUGUGAAAAGGGCCAUGUUUUUUUUUAUUUUGCGAGCUUUUAACACGUUUAAUAGUAGUAGGCAGUCAAUCACUGUUGAACUAAAUAACUCAUUCUUUUAUUCUUAACAGACUGGAUUAUGGACAGAACUUGGAAAUAUUGAGAAUAAUUUCUUAAAGCCACUUCAUAUAGGACUUAAUAUGUCAAAAGCACAUUAUGAAGCAGAAAUUAAAAAUAGCCAAGAGGCCCAGAAAUCUAAAGAUCUUUGUUCUAUAACUGUAGGUGGAGAAGAGAUCCCUAAUAUGCCUCCUGAAAUGCAGCUUAAGGUCCUACAUUCAGCUCUUUUCACAUUUGAUUUGAUUGAAAGUGUUCUAGCUCGAGUGGAAGAACUCAUUGAAAUAAAAACGAAGUCUACCUCUGAAGAAAAUAUUGGGAUAAAGUGAAAGUUCCACUUCCUUAAUAAAAUAGAGUAAAAACUCAUAAAAUAGAGUAUUAUUUUCCAUUAUGAUUUAUUUAAUACCAUUAUAAAAAUUUUUCUGUAAAAA